ensembl:misc_RNA Metazoa_SRP Metazoan signal recognition particle RNA
GCCAGGCAUAGUGGCGCAUGCCUGUAAUCCCAGCUACUGGGGAGGCUGAGGUGGGAGAAUUGCUUGAACCCAGGAGGCAGAGGUUGCAGUGAGCCAAGAUUGUGCCACUGCACUCCAGCCUGGGUGACAGAGUGAGACUCUGUCUCAA